UUAAAUUGAAGAGUUUGAUCAUGGCUCAGAUUGAACGCUGGCGGCAGGCCUAACACAUGCAAGUCGAACGGUAACAGGAAGAAGCUU
rnacentral:rRNA from 2 species